UGGAAACAGGUUGGUUUGUGUUACCGGCGGCGUUUCGUACCUUGGUCGCGCCAUUGUUAAGCGGCUUCUUGUUCAUGGCUACACCGUGAGAAUCGUCAUCGACUGCGAAGGUAAUUGAUUAUGUUUGCUACUUUACUAAUUAUAGAUUAAUCAAUUAAUGAUAUUUAUAAAAUGACUUAAAAUUAAAUGAAAGUAGAUUUUCUAAAAGUUGGUUUUCAAGUUCUUGAUUUUCUUCCACAAUUAUGAUGAAAAAUGCAGAGGACAAAGAGAAAGUUAGCGAGAUGGAAGCUGACGCUGAAACGGCAUCGUUUAGUAAUAGGAUAACGUCGGUAGUCUCGCGGUUAACAGAGAUAGAGAGUUUGGUUAAAGCGUUCGACGGUUGUGCUGGCGUUUUUC
rnacentral:lncRNA from 1 species